CCUGAUAGCUUGGUGGGUAAAGAAUCCGCCUGCAAUGCAGGAGACCCGGGUUCGAUUCCUGGGUCAGGA
rnacentral:tRNA from 1 species